rnacentral:rRNA from 1 species
UGGGGAAUUUUGCGCAAUGAGGGAAACCCUGACGCAGCAACGCCGCGUGGAGGAUGAAGUCCCUUGGGAUGUAAACUCCUUUCGACCAAGACGCCUUCGGGUUAAUAACCUGGGGGAGUGACGGUACCGAGAGAAGAAGCCCCGGCUAACUCC